rnacentral:rRNA from 1 species
GUCCACACUGUAAACGAUGAUCACUAGAUGUUGGCGAUACACAGCCAGCGUUCCAGCAAAAGCGAUAAGUGAUCCACCUGGGGAGUACGCCGGCAACGGUGAAACUCAAAGGAAUUGACGGGGUCCGGCACAAGCGGUGGAGCAUGUGGUUUAAUUUCGAUGGUACGCGAGGGAACCUUAACCCUUGGGCGUAGAAUGCCCUUCGUACACUUUCUAGAGAUGAGAGGUUCCGCAAGGACAAGGAGCAAGGUGCUGCAUGGCUGUCGU